rnacentral:ncRNA from 1 species
GAAAAGUUUUAUUAUGGCUUAGGGAUUUGCUAUUUAAUUUUUAUAUAUGUGAAUGUUAGUGUUUAUAGGUCUUUAGAUAGGGUUUAUUUUAUUUGCAGUAUAUAGUUUUAAGUUUUAAGUAGUUUUAGACUUAGGAAUUUAUUUAAAUAUGAACAAAAUUUGUGCCAGCAGUAGCGGUUAUACAAAUUAUAUGAGUUAAUCUUAUUUAGUUCAAUUAAAUUGUAUGUUAGAGUUUAUUUUUAGGUUUUUUAGGUGAAAUUUUAUAUUUAAUUAAUCUUUUUGUAUGUUAUUGAAGUUGGGAAACUUCUUUUUUAGACUAGGAUUAGAUACCCUAUUAUUGGAAGCGUGAAGAUUAAGCUAAAAUUAUUGUUAGUUAAGUUCUUUAAAGUUAAAUAUUUUGGCGGUAUUUUAGUCUUUUCAGAGGAACCUGUUUUUUAAUUGAUAGUCCACGAUUAUUACUACUUUAUCUUUAAAUUUAUAUAUCGUCGUUAAAUAAGUAUUUUAUAAGGAUUAUAAUAUUUGUGAUAUUUAAUUAGGUAGGAAUUCAGAUCAAGGUGUAGUUUAUGAUGAAGUUGGAAUGGGUUACAUUACAUUUAUGUGUAGUUUCAUUAUUUUGAAUAUUGGAUAAAAUGGAUUUGAAAGUAAUUCUUAUAUUUAUGUAGAAUGAUUUAGCUCUAAAAUAUGCACAUAUCGCCCGUCGCUUUCAUUAUAAAAUGAAAUAAGUCGUAACAAAGUAGGUUUAUUGGAAAAUGUACCUAGAAUGAU